GGCCACGUGGCGGAGUGGUUACGCAGAGGCCUGCAAAGCCUUGGACAUCAGUUCGAAUCUGAUCGUGGCCUCCA
rnacentral:tRNA from 1 species